GACGAACGCUGGCGGCGUGCCUAAUACAUGCAAGUCGAGCGGACUGGAUUGGAGCUUGCUCUGAUUCGGUCAGCGGCGGACGGGUGAGUAACACGUGGGCAACCUGCCCGCAAGACCGGGAUAACUCCGGGAAACCGGAGCUAAUACCGGAUAACACCGAAGACCGCAUGGUCUUUGGUUGAGAGGCGGCGCAAGCUGUCACUUGCGGAUGGGCCCGCGGCGCAUUAGCUAGUUGGUGAGGUAACGGCUCACCAAGGCGACGAUGCGUAGCCGGCCUGAGAGGGUGACCGGCCACACUGGGACUGAGACACGGCCCAG
rnacentral:rRNA from 1 species